rnacentral:lncRNA from 1 species
UCUCCAUAGCUGUCCUGCUGACGGUGUGCUGCAUGAAGAGGAAGAAGAAGACCGCCAACCCGGAGAACAACCUGAGCUACUGGAACAACACCAUCACCAUGGACUACUUCAACAGGCAUGCUGUGGAGCUGCCCAGGGAGAUCCAGUCCCUUGAAACCUCUGAGGACCAGCUCUCAGAGCCCCGCUCCCCAGCCAAUGGCGACUAUAGAGACACUGGGAUGGUCCUUGUUAACCCCUUCUGUCAAGAAACACUGUUUGUGGGAAACGAUCAAGUAUCUGAGAUCUAACUACAGCAGGCAUCACUUUGCCAUUCCGUAUUUUUCGUCUCUAAAUUAUAAAUAUACAAAUAUAUAUAUUAUAAAUAUAACCUUUGUGUAACCCUGACUUAAUGAGAAACAUUUUCAGCUUUUUUUCCUAUGAAUUGUCAACAUCUUUUUUACAAGUGUGGUUUAAAAAAAAAAAACUUUACAGAAUGAUCUGUGGCUUUAUAAAAUAAAGGUAUUUCUAAGCAAAGCAGUUGCAUUGAUUGCUUCUCUUAAUAACUAUUCUUGAGCACCUGGGGAUCCCAGGAACCCUGGUCAGGUGAGGUAAGAGACUGACCUCCUGUAGAAGCUGAAUGUUACAGUGGUCAAGCGCACGAUUCUUUGAGUGAUUCUUAAAGCUCUGGUUCCUCUUGCUUUGGUGUGACCCCAUUUCCUCCCUUCUCAUACGCACACCUGUAAAGGGAACUGGGCCGCCUCGGGGGAAGACGGCAGACUCAUGCACAGAGCAGGAAAAGGGAACAUCUCAUCACCUCUGAGGAUGAGUACCCUGGAGCCUUAUGACGGCACCAUUGGAUGUCAUGUUUAAUUCCAUCCAAGUUGUGGAUGGCAGGCAGGAGCAUGGAGCCCUCAGGAAUCCAUGGAGGACAUCAAGGCAUCGCAAGGCCAUAUCCCCCUAACAUUACUUCCACUGCUAACAACAGGACUGCCUUUCCCUGGUGGGAAAAUGCUCCCUUUAUGCCCAUUCCUGUAUCCCCUCCAACACCCACAUCUGCAUUAAACACCCGUGCCUUUCUCUUGGAGAGAGUUUAGAUGCAGACCCCGGCCCUGGAGCUUUAAAAUGCUUGCCCUUCCUUCUUCAAGGAUCAAAUGUUUAUUGGGGUUCAGCUUUGUUUUCUCAAAAGGCCAUGGUAUCGUGCCCCUGAGGAACAUGUUUAUCUAAGAAGCUUUGAGGUAGUAGAGCGAUAAUUUUUGAAACCUUCCUCCUGCAAUCUUUAAAAAAGAAAAAAAAGAUUGCCCAAGCAAAUCAUUUGGGAGAAGACAUCAUUAUACUCCUACUUGGCACUGCAAACCUGCUCGCAGCACCAGCCGGUGGACUUGCCAUCCAGCUCUCAGCUUCCACUGCUCCCCUUGUUCCCGGCCGGCUGGCUGCCUC